UUCAGCAAAAGAUUGAAAUAUUUUUCUAUAAAUUCGUUUGCAAUUUUAAUCCAAUUCCUCAAACCUCACAAGCAUAUUUCCAAACAUAAAGAGAGAGAGAGAAAAAAAAAUAUGGCUAAGGCUACUAAUAUGAGUGUUCUUGCGAUAUGUCUCAUGAUGUUCAUCGUUAUUGCUGACGUUGGAAUACAAAUGAGUGAAGCCCAAAGCUGUGGAUGGCAGUCGACGGGUGAUUGUUGUUACAGGUGCAGCCACAAGUGUUUGAACUACUGGGGAGGAUCUCGAUUCAGUGGUGGAAAUCACUGGCGAUGCCAAAACAACCAGUGCUGGUGUUGGUUUGGCAGUUGCUAAACUGCAUCAUACACUUAAAUAUUAUGUCGUCUUACCUGCAUCAUCAACCUAAUUAAGACGACUAAUAUACAAAUUAUGUAAUAUAUUACGCGCGUGAAAUUUGUGUAUAAAUAAAACAAUAAUAAGCCUGUACUACGUAUAAGGUAUUGUUUGUAAUCCUACUACUUUUUCUCUGUGUGAAAUGCGAAAUAAAAUGUUUGUGUGUGAAUUAAA